GAGAAUUUAGCAGAGUUUUGAGAUAAGAAAUGAGCUUAUAGAAUAACGUAUCUGGGUCCCCCUUUUAUAGACGGAGGAGGUAACGGAUUGAUGGCGACGUUUGUAACCGUCUGGUAGUGGGCCGUCCGUAGUCAGGGGGACUUUAUUGCGAAGGGUAGUGGAGCGAAAUCGUGGCUAUCGCCGUAGCUCGCCACGUGGAAUCAGUUGCGAGGAGUGGAGCAGCGUCCGUUGUCGUGACUUGCCAACGGAUGGAAGAAUCGUGCGGUAUCCGUUGCAGGAGGUGGAGCAGGAUCGUGGCCGUUGGCAUUGCCAGGUUCAGGCUUUGCCAGCAGCGGGGGUAAGCUGAGGUAGUUUUUUAAUUCUUCGAACGCCUGUUGGCAUUCAGAGGUCCAACAGAAGUUCUUCGGCUGCUUGAGGGUUUGAAAGAAAGGCAAACAUCGUUCAGCCGACCUCGCGACGAAGCGAUUAAGAGCCGCUAUCCUCCUUGUGAGGCGCUGAACCUCCUUGAUCGACUUUGGGACGGUCAUCUCUUGGAUAGC
rnacentral:lncRNA from 1 species